rnacentral:rRNA from 1 species
GACAGAGGUUGCAAACGUUGUUCGGAAUUACUGGGCAUAAAGCGCACGUAGGCGGUCCGUUAAGUCAUGUGUGAAAUCCCCCGGCUCAACCGGGGAAUUGCGCCUGAUACUGGCGGGCUAGAGGUCGAUAGGGGUGAGCGGAACUCCAGGUGGAGCGGUGAAAUGCGUAGAUAUCUGGAAGAACACCGGUGGCGAAAGCGGCUCACUGGAUCGAAACUGACGCUGAGGUGCGAAAGCUAGGGUAGCAAACGGG